GAUGAAGAACGUAGCGAAAUGCGAUAAGUAAUGUGAAUUGCAGAAUUCAGUGAAUCAUCGAAUCUUUGAACGCACAUUGCGCCCCCUGGUAUUCCGGGGGGCAUGCCUGUUCGAGCGUCAUUUCACCACUCAAGCCUCGCUUGGUAUUGGGCAACGCGGUCCGCCGCGUGCCUCAAAUCGACCGGCUGGGUCUUCUGUCCCCUAAGCGUUGUGGAAACUAUUCGCUAAAGGGUGUUCGGGAGGCUACGCCGUAAAACAACCCCAUUUCUAAGGUUGACCUCGGAUCAGGUAGGGAUACCAGCUGAACUUAAGCAUAUCAAUAAGCGGAGGA
rnacentral:misc_RNA from 1 species